AAAUAUAGCAUUGAAGUGCUUGGAAUGAAUUUGUAACAAUCGUGAUUUUUCGCAUGAUUUUGGUACGUACUGGACGUGUCGUCGCGUUAGUUUUUUAAUCGUAACGUUUUCUAACGAUUUUACAUAAUAUAUUUCAAAAAAUACAUAAACUUUCGGUAAAUAUUUCUUAAUGUCUACGAGACAGUAAGACGCGUAUGUUGAUAAGUGUGCAAAAUACUGACGUGUUCGUGUACUAUCGUAUUCGUAUUUUCGUGGAAUUCGAAAAUUUUUAAGUACUCACUCUCGCAGAUUAAAUAUAGAUGUAGGUAUGUACUAGUCACAGAAUACUAACGUCUAUCACGUGACGAGUAAUGAGCUAUCUAUUAGCGAAAGGUUACAAACAUGGCUGGCGUUUUUCGAGUUUAUAAUAAUUAUUUUCGAAGAGUUUCGAAAAAAAAAAUGAUUAAAUCAGUUUGAUUUUGAAUUUUUGAUACAAUUUGAAGUGAUAUACAUAUUUUUCGUCGCUAAAUAUUUUUACGGUGAUUAUCACUGCGAGUCAAGUACUUUUUCGAUUUCGGCAUUGUCUGCUUCAAGCAAAUUUGCAAUGUGGCAAUAUUCAAUCUCAUUAAUAUCUUCACUAAUUCAAAGUUUCUUUGGAGUUCAGACCAUACGUACUCAAGUCCAAAUUUUCAAACAAUCGAAUGCUGGGCAUAAGAAAUCGCCUGAGAAAAGAAGUGCACAUCCGAAUUUCCUAAUUUGCUUUUGUUGGAGUCCAGGCAUAUACCUACUAAUGUUUAAAUAUCUACGAGUAAUCGGCGCCGCGAAACGGAAGACGUGAUUCAAGCCGGCGCAACUGCGUGAGUUGAAAAAAAUGUAUCGUCAACUAUUCAGCAAAAUGAAUAAUUGAUGCGAAUUCAACCUGAAAAGAGGGGGAAGGAGGGGGGGUGAAUGUGAGUUCUCAUUUUUUUGAAACAAUUUUCAAUAAGUGAUUAUUUAUGAGUAGAUAUCUGCAGGAAGUUUGGCUGCUGAAAUACUUUUGCAUGCUCUUUCGAUCAAAGUCUAUAAAUUUCUAUUACUGAUUUUGAAUCUUUAAUCUGUCCUAUUCAACUUCUCUCCUCUCCUCCUCCGUUUCAAAAACCUAAACGAACUGAUAUUCUUCGAGUUCCAGCAGCUUUGAGAUAUGAGCCAUGGAAAAUUGAUGGUUUUGCAAAAAAGUAUGCUAAACCAUCGAGGAAAACUCUGAGAAAAAAAAACAAGCUCGUACUCCAUUUUUUCAAAAAAAAAAAUGAAUAAAUAAAUAAAUAAAUAAAAAAGGUUUGUGCUUCAGUAGCGAAAAAAAUUACAGAACAUUUUAUUUAAUGCAGAAUAAAAAAUCUCGAUGAAGUGAGAACAUUUCAUUUUGACAUAAUAAAAGUAGGGAAAUUUUGACAAAUCUCGCAAUAAAAAAAUCAAGAUUCGGACAACUUUAAUAGUAGUCAGGUCUCAAUUACAUAUCCCCUCGCUAUUCAUGUUAAAAGCAAUUUUAUGAUUGAUUCUUGUUCUACACACUAGAGCGAAUAAAUUUAGCUCGUACAAAUUUUCAAAAGCUUUUGCCCUUCGCUACAUUUGAGCCAAUUUGUUUAUUUGUUUUCAUUUUUAUAAAACGAAAAAAUUCUGCCUGAGGCUUCUAAAAAUCAAGAAAUAAACGUGCAAAUUGUUUUUAAGUCAUAAUUAUGGUAGCCUAUGAAUAUAACCUAAUGGCUGAUACCCAUCAUAUGUGUUGAGUACUUAUAUCAAUAAUUGGCAGUACCUAUUGUCUUCUCACAUUUUAUUUCACAUUAAAAAGCUGAAUGUUUUAAUCGGCAAAAUAGGUAUUUUUUUGUCAUAUCAGUCGGCAAAUUUUUGGUCGAACACCCCCGCCCCCCCAAAGAAAAUGCCUAGUUUCGUCACUGGAAAAAAUGUUUGUAAAUUUUGACAUUGAUGGUUUUUUAAACAAACCUCUCACGCUCUAUUUUUUAAGCAUUUUUUUUGGUUUUUAUUUAAAACCCUGAGACCCUAGUGCUGUGUUUUCAAUUUAAUUCCUUUAGAGUUCAAGCGUAUGGGUGUCAAGUUCAUUUGAAAUAACAUUGGUAAUGCAAGAAGUAAGGUACACCCCACUUUUUGAAUACAUUUUUUUUCUAUUUUGACCCACGUCUCUUGUUUAAAAUAUACCUGCCCCAGCGGACGCAAUUCGUGCCUGUUUGGGACGCAAUUCGUGUACAGCCGGUGCGAUAGGUUAGCGUGAAGAGAACGAGCGUUUCAGAUAUCAAAUUUACCGAAAAGAAUCGCACUUCAUCUCAAUAAUAUACGUAUUGUAUCUGAGUUUUUCCCGUUUAGGUCUAUUUGCGAUUGAUCUAGAAUGAAGAAUAAUAGUGUACUUACCUUCUUGCACGUUUGUGCCCGAAAGUUUAAAAUAAUAUCUCGCACAGAGAAAAAUGUAUUGCACUUUUUACUGUAAAUCAUGAGAUUUUGGAUGGAGUCUGAAAA